GCUCAGUGGUUAGAGCGUCGGCUUGUGCGCCGAAGGUUCCAGGGUUCAAUUCCCCG
rnacentral:tRNA from 1 species